GGGCCUAUAGCUCAGUCGGUUAGAGCGCUGUCCUGAUAAGACAGAGGUCGCUGGUUCAAGUCCAGCUAGGCCCA
rfam:Brachybacterium faecium DSM 4810 strain 6-10, complete genome.